AUUGAACGCUGGCGGCAUGCCUUACACAUGCAAGUCGAACGGCAGCACGGGUGCUUGCACCUGGUGGCGAGUGGCGAACGGGUGAGUAAUACAUCGGAACGUACCUUAUCGUGGGGGAUAACGCAGCGAAAGCUGUGCUAAUACCGCACACGCCCUGAGGGGGAAAGCGGGGGAUCGAAAGACCUCGCGCGAUUAGAGCGGCCGAUGCCUGAUUAGCUUGUUGGUGGGGUAAAAGCCCACCAAGGCGAAGAGCAGUAGCUGGUCUGAGAGGACGAUCAGCCAGACUGGGACUGAGACACGGCCCAGACUCCUCCGGGAGGCAGCAGUGGGGAAUUUUGGACAAUGGGGGCAACCCUGAUCCAGCAAGGCCGCGUGAGUGAAGAAGGCCUUCGGGUUGUAAAGCUCUUUUGUCAGGGAAGAAACACCGGCUCUAACACAGUCCGGGAAUGACGGUACCUGAAGAAUAAGCACCGGCUAACUACAUGCCAGCCGCCGCAGUAA
rnacentral:rRNA from 1 species